rnacentral:rRNA from 1 species
AUUGAACGCUGGCGGCAGGCUUAACAUAUGCAAGUCGAGCGGGGUGAUGGUGCUUGCACUAUCACUUAGCGGCGGACGGGUGAGUAAUGCUUAGGAAUCUGCCUAUUAGUGGGGGACAACAUCUCGAAAGGGAUGCUAAUACCGCAUACGUCCUACGGGAGAAAGCAGGGGAUCACUAGUGACCUUGCGAUAAUAGAUGAGCCUAAGUCGGAUUAGCUAGUUGGUGGGGUAAAGGCCUACCGAGGCGACGAUCUGUAGCGGGUCUGAGAGGAUGAUCCGCCACACUGGGACUGAGACACGGCCCAGACUCCUACGGGAGGCAGCAGUGGGGAAUAUUGGACAAUGGGGGGAACCCUGAUCCAGCCAUGCCGCGUGUGUGAAGAAGGCCUUAUGGUUGUAAAGCACUUUAAGCGAGGAGGAGGCUCUUUUGGUUAAUACCCAAGAUGAGUGGACGUUACUCGCAGAAUAAGCACCGGCUAACUCUGUGCCAGCCGCCGCAGUAA